AUUGAACGCUGGCGGCAGGCUUAACACAUGCAAGUCGAACGAUGAUUUCCCAGCUUGCUGGGAAUGAUUAGUGGCGGACGGGUGAGUAACAUUUAGGAAUCUGCCUAGUAGUGGGGGAUAGCUCGGGGAAACUCGAAUUAAUACCGCAUACGACCUACGGGUGAAAGGGGGCACAAGCUCUUGCUAUUAGAUGAGCCUAAAUCAGAUUAGCUAGUUGGUGGGGUAAAGGCCCACCAAGGCGACGAUCUGUAACUGGUCUGAGAGGAUGAUCAGUCACACCGGAACUGAGACACGGUCCGGACUCCUACGGGAGGCAGCAGUGGGGAAUAUUGGACAAUGGGGGCAACCCUGAUCCAGCCAUGCCGCGUGUGUGAAGAAGGCCUUUUGGUUGUAAAGCACUUUAAGCAGGGAGGAGAGGCUAAUGGUUAAUACCCAUUAGAUUAGACGUUACCUGCAGAAUAAGCACCGGCUAACUCUGUGCCAGCAGCCGCGGUAAUACAGAGGGUGCGAGCGUUAAUCGGAAUUACUGGGCGUAAAGCGAGUGUAGGUGGCUCAUUAAGUCACAUGUGAAAUCCCCGGGCUUAACCUGGGAACUGCAUGUGAUACUGGUGGUGCUAGAAUAUGUGAGAGGGAAGUAGAAUUCCAGGUGUAGCGGUGAAAUGCGUAGAGAUCUGGAGGAAUACCGAUGGCGAAGGCAGCUUCCUGGCAUAAUAUUGACACUGAGAUUCGAAAGCGUGGGUAGCAAACAGGAUUAGAUACCCUGGUAGUCCACGCCGUAAACGAUGUCUACUAGCCGUUGGGGUCCUUGAGACUUUAGUGGCGCAGUUAACGCGAUAAGUAGACCGCCUGGGGAGUACGGCCGCAAGGUUAAAACUCAAAUGAAUUGACGGGGGCCCGCACAAGCGGUGGAGCAUGUGGUUUAAUUCGAUGCAACGCGAAGAACCUUACCUGGUCUUGACAUAGUGAGAAUCCUGCAGAGAUGCGGGAGUGCCUUCGGGAAUUCACAUACAGGUGCUGCAUGGCUGUCGUCAGCUCGUGUCGUGAGAUGUUGGGUUAAGUCCCGCAACGAGCGCAACCCUUUUCCUUAUUUGCCAGCGGGUUAAGCCGGGAACUUUAAGGAUACUGCCAGUGACAAACUGGAGGAAGGCGGGGACGACGUCAAGUCAUCAUGGCCCUUACGACCAGGGCUACACACGUGCUACAAUGGUAGGUACAGAGGGUUGCUACACAGCGAUGUGAUGCUAAUCUCAAAAAGCCUAUCGUAGUCCGGAUUGGAGUCUGCAACUCGACUCCAUGAAGUCGGAAUCGCUAGUAAUCGCAGAUCAGAAUGCUGCGGUGAAUACGUUCCCGGGCCU
rnacentral:rRNA from 1 species